rnacentral:tRNA from 1 species
GCGCGGGUGGCGGAAUUGGCAGACGCACUGGAUUUAGGCUCCAGCGCCUUACGGCAUGCGGGUUCAAGUCCCGCCCCGCGCA